AAAGCGGGCCGGAUCAUCGCCGCGCGCUCCGCAAAAGAAGACAUUCCCGGUUUAUUUACAAGAUGGGAAACGAAAAUUCUUUAUUGCGCGGAACACGGGGAGGAAAGUCCGGGCUCCCGAGGGCACGGCGCUGGGUAACGCCCAGGUGGAGUGAUCCACGGCAAGUGCAACAGAAAGCAAACCGCCCCGCGUCUGACGCGAGGUAAGGGUGAAAGGGUGGGGUAAGAGCCCACCGGUUGACGCGGUGACGCGUCAAGCCGGGUGAACCCCGCCGGGAGCAAGACCAAAUAGGGAAGCGUUUGAGGCCGGCCCGGCCGAUGCUUCCGGGUAGGUUGCUUGAGGCCGCGGGUAAUCGCGGUCCUAGAGGAAUGAUGAUCGCCCGGUCCAAUCCGCAACGAUAAAGGACCGGGAACAGAACCCGGCUUACAGGCCCACUUUCGUU
rnacentral:RNase_P_RNA from 1 species